UUUAAAGGGUCCGUAGGCGGAUCAUUAAGUCAGUGGUGAAAUCCGACAGCUCAACUGUCGAACUGCCAUUGAUACUGAUGAUCUUGAGUACGGUUGAAGUAGGCGGAAUAUGACGUGUAGCGGUGAAAUGCUUAGAUAUGUCAUGGAACACCGAUUGCGAAGGCAGCCUACUAAGCCGUUACUGACGCUGAGGGACGAAAGUGUGGGGAGCGAACAGGAUUAGAUACCCUGGUAGUCCACACCGUAAACGAUGAUUACUCGGUAUUGGCUUUAUUGUCAGUGCCCAAGCGAAAGUGAUAAGUAAUCCACCUGGGGAGUACGGCCGCAAGGUUGAAACUCAAAGGAAUUGACGGGGGCCCGCACAAGCGGUGGAGUAUGUGGUUUAAUUCGAAGCAACGCGCAGAACCUUACCAACCCUUGACAUACUCGUCGUCGCUCCAGAGAUGGAGCUUUCAGUUCGGCUGGACGAGAUACAGGUGCUGCAUGGCU
rnacentral:rRNA from 1 species